UACAGAGGUCUCAAGCGUUGUUCGGAUUCAUUGGGCGUAAAGGGUGUGUAGGUGGCGCGCUAAGUCGGGUGUGAAAUUUCGGAGCUUAACUCCGAAACUGCAUUCGAUACUGGCGUGCUUGAGGACUGGAGAGGAGACUGGAAUUCAUGGUGUAGCAGUGAAAUGCGUAGAGAUCGUGAGGAAGACCAGUGGCGAAGGCGGGUCUCUGGACAGUUCCUGACACUGAGGCACGAAGGCCAGGGGAGCAAACGGG
rnacentral:rRNA from 1 species